CCUGGCUCAGGAUGAACGCUAGCGACAGGCCUAACACAUGCAAGUCGAGGGGCAGCAUUUCUAGCUUGCUAGAAGAUGGCGACCGGCGCACGGGUGAGUAACGCGUAUGCAACCUACCUUAUACUGGGGGAUAGCCCAGAGAAAUCUGGAUUAACACCGCAUAAUAAUUGUUUUUCGCAUGUUAAACAAUUUAAAACUCCGGUGGUAUAAGAUGGGCAUGCGUAGCAUUAGUUAGUUGGUGAGGUAACGGCUCACCAAGACGAUGAUGCUUAGGGGGUCUGAGAGGAUAGUCCCCCACACUGGUACUGAGACACGGACCAGACUCCUACGGGAGGCAGCAGUGAGGAAUAUUGGUCAAUGGACGCAAGUCUGAACCAGCCAUGUCGCGUGCAGGAUGACGGCCCUAUGGGUUGUAAACUGCUUUUUUUACAGGAAUAAUUGUCUCUACGUGUAGAGAUUUGAAUGUACUGUUGAAUAAGGAUCGGCUAACUCCGUGCCAGCAGCCGCGGUAAUACGGAGGAUUCGAGCGUUAUCCGGAUUUAUUGGGUUUAAAGGGUCCGUAGGCGGUCUUUUAAGUCAGUGGUGAAAUCCCAGAGCUCAACUCUGGAACUGCCAUUGAAACUGAAAGACUUGAAUAUGGUUGAGGUAGGCGGAAUACGUUAUGUAGCGGUGAAAUGCUUAGAUAUUAUAUAGAACACCGAUUGCGAAGGCAGCUUACUAGACUAUAACUGACGCUCAUGGACGAAAGCGUGGGGAGCGAACAGGAUUAGAUACCCUGGUAGUCCACGCCGUAAACGAUGAUUACUCGUUGUGCACAAUACACCGUGCGUGACUGAGCGAAAGCAUUAAGUAAUCCACCUGGGGAGUACGUCGGCAAGAUUGAAACUCAAAGGAAUUGACGGGGGCCCGCACAAGCGGAGGAACAUGUGGUUUAAUUCGAUGAUACGCGAGGAACCUUACCUGGGCUUAAAUGUAGAUUGACAGGACUGGAAACGGUUUUUUCUUCGGACAAUUUACAAGGUGCUGCAUGGUUGUCGUCAGCUCGUGCCGUGAGGUGUCGGGUUAAGUCCCAUAACGAGCGCAACCCCUAUCGUUAGUUGCUAGCAGGUAAUGCUGAGGACUCUAGCGAGACUGCCGGUGUAAACCGUGAGGAAGGUGGGGAUGACGUCAAAUCAGCACGGCCCUUAUGUCCAGGGCUACACACGUGUUACAAUGGUAGAUACAAAGAGCAGCUAUGUGGCGACACAGUGCUAAUCUCAAAAGUCUAUCUUAGUUCGGAUCGGAGUCUGCAACUCGACUCCGUGAAGUUGGAUUCGCUAGUAAUCGUAUAUCAGCCAUGAUACGGUGAAUACGUUCCCGGGCCUUGUACACACCGCCCGUCAAGCCAUGGAAGUUGGGGGUACCUGAAGUCCGUAACCGUAAGGAGCGGCCUAGGGUAAAACUAGUAACUGGGGCUAAGUCGUAACA
rnacentral:rRNA from 1 species